UACGUAGGGCGCAAGCGUUAUCCGGAAUAUUGGGCGUAAAGAGCUCGUAGGCGGUUUGUCGCGUCUGCUGUGAAAACCUAAGGCUCAACCUUGGGCUUGCAGUGGGUACGGGCAGACUAGAGUGCGGUAGGGGUGACUGGAAUUCCUGGUGUAGCGGUGGAAUGCGCAGAUAUCAGGAGGAACACCGAUGGCGAAGGCAGGUCACUGGGCCGCAACUGACGCU
rnacentral:rRNA from 1 species